rnacentral:piRNA from 1 species
UCACGAUGAGUUGGACGGGUAGAAGUUU